rnacentral:rRNA from 1 species
AUUGAACGCUGGCGGCAGGCCUAACACAUGCGAGUCGAGCGGAUGAAGGGAGCUUGCUCCUGGAUUCAGCGGCGGACGGGUGAGUAAUGCCUAGGAAUCUGCCUGGUAGUGGGGGAUAACGUCCGGAAACGGGCGCUAAUACCGCAUACGUCCUGAGGGAGAAAGUGGGGGAUCUUCGGACCUCACGCUAUCAGAUGAGCCUAGGUCGGAUUAGCUAGUUGGUGGGGUAAAGGCCUACCAAGGCGACGAUCCGUAACUGGUCUGAGAGGAUGAUCAGUCACACUGGAACUGAGACACGGUCCGGACUCCUACGGGAGGCAGCAGUGGGGAAUAUUGGACAAUGGGCGAAAGCCUGAUCCAGCCAUGCCGCGUGUGUGAAGAAGGUCUUCGGAUUGUAAAGCACUUUAAGUUGGGAGGAAGGGCAGUAAGUUAAUACCUUGCUGUUUUGACGUUACCAACAGAAUAAGCACCGGCUAACUUCGUG